rnacentral:rRNA from 1 species
CCUACGGGUGGCAGCAGUGGGGAAUAUUGGGCAAUGGGCGCAAGCCUGACCCAGCAACGCCGCGUGAGGGAAGAAGGCUUUCGGGUUGUAAACUUCUUUUGACAGGGAAGAGAAGAAGACGGUACCUGUCAAAUAAGCCACGGCUAAAUACGUGCCAGCAGCCGAGGUAAUACGUAGGUGGCAAGUGUUGUCCGGAUUUACUGGGUGUAAAGGGCGUGUAGCCGGGCUGACAAGUCAGAUGUGAAAUCCGGGGGAUUAACCCUCGAACUGCAGUUGAAACUGUUGGUCUUGAGUAUCGGAGAGGCAGGCGGAAUUCGUAGUGUAGCGGUGAAAUGCGUAGAUAUUAGGAGGAACACCAGUGGCGAAGGCGGCCUGCUGGACUGCAACUGACGGUGAGGCGCGAAAGCGUGGGGAGCAAACAGGAUUAGAUACCCGAGUAGUC